rnacentral:rRNA from 1 species
UACGAAGGGGGCUAGCGUUGCUCGGAAUGACUGGGCGUAAAGGGCGCGUAGGCGGAUGGCACAGUCAGAUGUGAAAUUCCCGGGCUUAACCUGGGGCUGCAUUUGAUACGUGUGAUCUAGAGUGAGGAAGAGGGUCGUGGAAUUCCCAGUGUAGAGGUGAAAUUCGUAGAUAUUGGGAAGAACACCGGUGGCGAAGGCGGCGACCUGGUCCUUGACUGACGCUGAGGCGCGAAAGCGUGGGGAGCAAACAGG